rnacentral:rRNA from 1 species
UUCCGGUUGAUCCUGCCGGAGGUCACUGCUAUCGGGGUUCGAUUAAGCCAUGCGAGUCGAGAGGGUUCGGCCCUCGGCGUACUGCUCAGUAACACGUGGAUAACCUGCCCUAGGGAAGGGGAUAACCCCGGGAAACUGGGAAUAAUACCCUAUAGGUUACAGAUGCUGGAAUGCUCUGUAACCCAAAGUUCCGGCGCCCUAGGAUGGAUCUGCGGCCGAUUAGGUUGUUGUUGGGGUAAUGGCCCAACAAGCCAGUAAUCGGUACGGGUUGUGGGAGCAAGAGCCCGGAGUUGGAUUCUGAGACACGAAUCCAGGCCCUACGGGGCGCAGCAGGCGCGAAAACUUUACAAUGCGGGCAACCGUGAUAAGGGAACCUCGAGUGCCUGUAAAUGCAGGCUGUUUAGGUGUUUAAAACGCACCUGGAGAAAGGGCCGGGCAAGACCGGUGCCAGCCGCCGCGGUAAUACCGGCGGCUCGAGUGGUGGCCACUUUUAUUGGGCUUAAAGCGUUCGUAGCUGGGUUGUUAAGUCUCUUGGGAAAUCUGGCGGCUUAACCGUCAGGCGUCUAAGGGAUACUGGCAAUCUUGGAACCGGGAGAGGUGAGGGGUACUUCGGGGGUAGGAGUGAAAUCCUGUAAUCCUCGAGGGACCACCUGUGGCGAAGGCGCCUCACCAGAACGGCUUCGACAGUGAGGGACGAAAGCUGGGGGAGCAAACCGGAUUAGAUACCCGGGUAGUCCCAGCCGUAAACUAUGCGCGUUAGGUGUAUCGGUGACCACGAGUUACCGAGGUGCCGAAGGGAAACCGUGAAACGUGCCGCCUGGGAAGUACGGUCGCAAGGCUGAAACUUAAAGGAAUUGGCGGGAA